AACGAACGCUGGCGGCGUGCCUAACACAUGCAAGUCGAGCGCGAAAAGGGCAACCUGAGUAGAGCGGCGCACGGGUGCGUAACACGUGGGUAAUCUGCCUUAGAGUCGAGGAUAACCUUCCGAAAGGUUGGCUAAUACUCGGUAAGCUUACGGUGUCUUCGGACGCUGUGGGAAAAGUAGGCCUCUGUGUACAAGCUUACGCUCUGAGAUGAGCCCGCGGCCCAUCAGCUAGUUGGCGGUGUAACGGACCACCAAGGCAACGACGGGUAGCUGGUCUGAGAGUACGAUCAGCCACACUGGAACUGAGACACGGUCCAGACUCCUACGGGAGGCAGCAGUGGGGAAUUUUCCACAAUGGGCGAAAGCCUGAUGGAGCAACGCAGCGUGUGUGAUGAAGGUUUUCGGAUCGUAAAGCACUUUCGACCGGGACGAAAAACCUCUGGCUAACAUCCAGGGGCCUGACGGUACCGGGAGAAGAAGCACCGGCUAACUCUGUGCCAGCCGCCGCCGUAA
rnacentral:rRNA from 1 species